UCCUGUGGCGGGGAGAUUCAGUCGGAAGGCCGGGACGCCAGAGCCGAGCACACGAAGGGAUCCGAUCCAGCGGACCCGCUCGGCCAGGCGCUCUCCGGUUCGGACGACGCAUUUCUCUCCCGCCCGAAGGACGCCGCAACCGGUUGGGAAGCGGCCCACUGGCCCGUACACGACAGAUGGCCGGCUCUUGCCCAUUGCGAGGCUAGCCUCGGUGACUGAGUCUGUCGGGCCUGGGGCUCACGCAUCCCGACCGUGGUGUCACGAAGCCCACCACACUGGGCUUCGCCGUCUCCUCCAUUAAGCCAGGACGCCGGACUGGACUUCGGCAGGAGGUCUCCGAACCGCGGGCGCACAGAACCACUCUGUGGCCACGUGGGCGAGAACCUUCGGUAUGCCGGGCGUGAUCCGUUGGAGUGCUGACGGUUAGCGGCGAGUAGGUCGGUCACCCACCCGACCCGUCUUGAAACACGGACCAAGGAGUCUAACAUGUGUGCGAGUCAAUGGGUCUUGAAUAAGCCCAGAGGCGCAAUGAAAGCAAAGGCCGGACGCGACGCCGGCCGUGUUGGGAUCCCUCCGCCUCCGAGCGGGGGGCGCACCAACGACCCGUCCUCUCCGACUCGUUCGGUUGGGCGGAGUCUGAGCACACACGUUGGGACCCGAAAGAUGGUGAACUAUGCCCGGGCAGAACGAAGCCAGAGGAAACUCUGGUGAAGGUUCGCAGCGGUUCUGACGUGCAAAUCGAUCGUCAGACCCAGGUAUAGG
rnacentral:rRNA from 1 species